AGAAAGCAGCCUGUUACAGCAGUAAUUAAAAGCGUUGCUGGAAAGUGCUUGCAUGCUCUUCCUUUGACUCCUGCAGGGCUCUUUUUAAAAUAUGAGUGACCAGACUUGCUUGAAGAUGCAGUGGUUGCCCUGAAACAGGAUCAAGUUCAGAGGCUUUCCCCUGAGACUGGAGAGUGGAAGAGUCUCAGAUCUCAUCAUACGGAUCCUGUCUUUCCUCUUGGCACUGUCACUUCUUUUAGAAGAUCAAGCAUCUGUUCUUAUCUCCCACACUAGUGUCAGUGGACAGAAGGAUGCAGCGGCCUGCCUGCCCUGCUCCUGCGCUGUCAGGUCUCAUGGAUUUCCUUCAAUAGGGAGCAUUCACACAGUUGCACAAUGGUUGAAGUUGGAAGGGACCUCUGGAGUUGAUCUAGCCCAGCCUCUUUGCAGGGUCCCUACAGCAUGUUUCUUGGGAUGGUGUCCAGGUGGCUUUUGAAUAUCUCCAGGGAAGGAGACUCACUCCACAUUCCCUCUGGGCAGCCCGUUUCGAUGGCUCUGUCACCCUCACAGUCAAGAUUUUUCACAUAUUGGCAAGUUCUUUCUGUAGUCAUGUAGUCAAGGAACUUUAGCCAUCAGCCAUUGAAAUCAGCCAGUUUGUUUUCUCAAGAAGAAGGAAAAGACAUUUUAGCAGUUUCUUGAUGUGUCCACUCUGGUUAGUGUGUAUAGUAAAUAGGAGGCUUAUCUUCAAAAGUGUCAGUGGCAUACAGUGCUGCAACACAUAUUCUACAGGGAAACAACCGAAGUAGAGAGAGAUAAAAAGCAAAUUUGUCCAAAGUUUCUAAUUACAUUUGGAGGUUGGUAAUUACCUAAUGAGAGUCUCAGAACUGCCCUAACAACUGAGGCGUCAAGAUUCUGUUUCUGCACUGCAACCAUGUAGGACUGGAGUAUCAAACUCGUUUGUGUACUUCUGAAAUGGCAGUGAGGCAAUUACAGCACCUCAGUAUCUUGGAAGAUGGAACACUAAGUAUGUUCUCUGUAUGAGAUGUUCUCCGGUCUAACAAAGCUCUAUAAAGUUGUUUUCCUCACUUACCCAUCCUCAUUGUUGGCUUAUUGUUCCUGCUUUUAUCACACAGCUUUUAGAGAGCCCCUUCAACUGUGUCAAAGGAAUUGUCAGCUUUGUUGACAAUAGAAAAGAGAUGAACUAGUGUGAGUCAAAAUAAUAGAAUCAUGAAAUGGUUUGGGUUUGAAGGGGCCUUCAAGUUCACCUAGUUUUAAUCCCCUACCUUGAGCAGGGGACAUCUCCUGCAAGAUCAGGCUGCCCAGGGUCCCAUCCAACUUGGCCUUGAACACUUCCUGGGAUGGGGCAUCCACAACUUCUCUGGGCAGCCUGUUCUAGUGACUCACCACCUUCCACAAGGAUAGGGAUAGGGAAGGAUAGGUACGUAUGAAAUUGGCUUAGCUCCAAGAUUUGGCUUAUGAAAAAUUACCCUGAAGAU
rnacentral:lncRNA from 1 species